GGGAGCCAGUCAGCGCGGACACCGCGCCGGGGGAGGGGGGUGCGGGCGGGGACGGUCCGCAGGUGGGACCCAGCCCGGCGCCGGGCCAUGGCCGGCCGAGCCCCCGCCGCGGACCGGCCGGCGGAGCCCCCCGAGGGGCCGCUUCAGAGCGCUAGCACCUCCGCCGUGGCCCACGGAGUCAUCCUGCGGAGAAGGCUUUCAGCGGAUCUGCGAGCGCCGGAGCUAUACCUGUGUGCAGCAGCAGGGGUUGUGUCUGCAGGAGGGUGUUCUGCUCUCGGGGUGUUUUUCCCGCAUCACUUGGUGUUACUCCAAACUUCGCUGCUGCUCCUCUACAGCUGCCGAGCAGAAAACAGAAGUUCCCUGAAGUGCAGUCCGCCUCGGAAACAUACUUUUUAGCAGCUGGUUGAGGAGGCAGAAGGCAAGUC